CUCUUCGGGGAUGAUUAAACCGGCGCACGGGUGAGUAACACGUGAGUGACCUGCCUUUUAGACUGGAACAACUUACCGAAAGGUGAGCUAAUGCCGGAUGAGUUAUAUAAGUGCAUGUUUAUAUAGGAAAAGUUGGGGAGACCUGACGCUGAAAGAUGGACUCGCGUCCCAUUAGCUAGUUGGUAGGGUAAUGGCCUACCAAGGCGACGAUGGGUAGCCGGCCUGAGAGGGUGGCCGGCCACACUGGGACUGAGACACGGCCCAGACUCCUACGGGAGGCAGCAGUGGGGAAUUUUGCGCAAUGCUCGUAAGAGUGACGCAGCGACGCCGCGUGAAUGACGAAGGCCUUCGGGUCGUAAAGUUCUUUCGACAGGGAAGAAAAUGCCUAUAAGUAACUGUGUAUGUAUUGACGGUACCUGUAUAAGCAGCCCCGGCUAACUCCGUGCCAGCAGCCGCGGUAAUACGGAGGGGGCGAGCGUUGUUCGGGGUGACUGGGCGUAAAGAGCACGUAGGCGGUGUUGUAAGUCAUUAGUCAAAGACUAGAGCUCAACUUUAGUAAGGCUAGUGAUACUAUAAUACUAGAGUAUCAGAGAGGAUUGCAGAAUUCCUGGUGUAGCGGUGAAAUGCGUAGAUAUCAGGAGGAAUACCGUUAGCGAAGGCGGCAAUCUGGCUGGAAACUGACGCUGAGGUGCGAAAGCGUGGGUAGCAAACAGGAUUAGAUACCCUGGUAGUCCACGCUGUAAACGAUGGAUGCUAGGUGUUGGGCUUUUAAGUUCAGUGCCGCAGCAAACGCGAUAAGCAUCCCGCCUGGGGAG
rnacentral:rRNA from 1 species